GUGGGGAAUAUUGGACAAUGGGGGGAACCCUGAUCCAGCCAUGCCGCGUGUGUGAAGAAGGCCUUUUGGUUGUAAAGCACUUUAAGCGAGGGGGAGGCUACCGAGAUUAAUACUCUUGGAUAGUGGACGUUACUCGCAGAAUAAGCACCGGCUAACUCUGUGCCAGCAGCCGCGGUAAUACAGAGGGUGCAAGCGUUAAUCGGAUUUACUGGGCGUAAAGCGCGCGUAGGUGGCCAAUUAAGUCAAAUGUGAAAUCCCCGAGCUUAACUUGGGAAUUGCAUUCGAUACUGGUUGGCUAGAGUAUGGGAGAGGAUGGUAGAAUUCCAGGUGUAGCGGUGAAAUGCGUAGAGAUCUGGAGGAAUACCGAUGGCGAAGGCAGCCAUCUGGCCUAAUACUGACACUGAGGUGCGAAAGCAUGGGGAGCAAACAGGAUUAGAAACCCCUGUAGUCC
rnacentral:rRNA from 1 species